ACGUGACCCCGGCACACGCAAUCCGGGGCCCGCCCGCCUCGUGCUAGCCUUCCACUCAGCCAGCUGGUAUCGAGAGAGGCGCCCAUCAGCCUAACCCGGAGAAUGAAAAUAACAAACCAGUUACAGGUAUCCAUGUGGUAAGCACAGCAGAACCUCCUCCUGUUGCUAACCUUGAUCUCCCCCUGAGCAUGGUGGUUACAUGGAGUCAACAUGCAGAAGGCAAGACCAUCUGAAGUUCAAGAACCAUAAGCAGCUGUAGAAAUCCAAGUCAUCAGAAAAGCAAACAAAAGCAGCUCCUCUCCUGCAAAGCAAAUUCCCUAAAAGAGCCUCAGCAUCUGCGUUCUUAGCAUAAAGGGUCAGACCUUAAUCUAUGGUGAAUUUGUAA